AUUGAACGCUGGCGGCAGGCCUAACACAUGCAAGUCGAACGAGUGGCGGACGGGUGAGUAAUGUAUGGGAAACUGCCAGAUGGAGGGGGAUAAAUACUGGAAACGGUAGCUAAUACCGCAUACCAUCAGAUGUGCCCAGAUGGGAUUAGCUAGUGGGUGGGGGAACGGCUCACCAAGGCGCCGAUCCCUAGCUGGUCUGAGAGGAUGACCAGCCACAGUGGAACUGAGACACGGUCCAGACUCCUACGGGAGGCAGCAGUGGGGAAUAUUGCACAAUUGGCGCAAGCCUGAUGCAGCCAGGCCGCGUGUAUGAAGAAGGCCUUCGGGUUGGAAAGUACUUUCAGCUGGGAGGCGUUACCCGCAGAAGAAGCACCGGCGAACUCCGUGCCAGCCGCCGCGGUAAUUC
rnacentral:rRNA from 1 species